GCAUGAUUGGUGGAAGGGUAUCAUUAACGCUUCCCAUCACACGGAAACUGCGUUAGUACCGAGUUCGAGUCUCGGAUCAUGCA